rnacentral:rRNA from 1 species
AGUCGAGCGGUAGAGAGAAGCUUGCUUCUCUUGAGAGCGGCGGACGGSYSAKUAAUGCCUAGGAAUCUGCCUGGUAGUGGGGGAUAACGUUCGGAAACGGACGCUAAUACCGCAUACGUCCUACGGGAGAAAGCAGGGGACCUUCGGGCCUUGCGCUAUCAGAUGAGCCUAGGUCGGAUUAGCUAGUUGGUGAGGUAAUGGCUCACCAAGGCRACGAUCCGUAACUGGUCUGAGAGGAUGAUCAGUCACACUGGAACUGAGACACGGUCCAGACUCCUACGGGAGGCAGCAGUGGGGAAUAUUGGACAAUGGGCGAAAGCCUGAUCCAGCCAUGCCGCGUGUGUGAAGAAGGUCUUCGGAUUGUAAAGCACUUUAAGUUGGGAGGAAGGGUUGUAGAUUAAUACUCUGCAAUUUUGACGUUACCGACAGAAUAAGCACCGGCUAACUCUGUGCCAGCAGCCGCGGUAAUACAGAGGGUGCAAGCGUUAAUCGGAAUUACUGGGCGUAAAGCGCGCGUAGGUGGUUUGUUAAGUUGGAUGUGAAAUCCCCGGGCUCAACCUGGGAACUGCAUUCAAAACUGACUGACUAGAGUAUGGUAGAGGGUG